rnacentral:rRNA from 1 species
UACGGAGGGAGCUAGCGUUGUUCGGAUAUACUGGGCGUAAAGCGCACGUAGGCGGCGCAGCAAGUCAGGGGUGAAAUCCCGGAGCUCAGCUCCGGAACUGCCUUUGAAACUGCAGUGCUAGAAUCCUGGAGAGGCGAGUGGAAUUCCGAGUGUAGAGGUGAAAUUCGUAGAUAUUCGGAAGAACACCAGUGGCGAAGGCGACUCGCUGGACAGGUAUUGACGCUGAGGUGCGAAAGCGUGGGGAGCAAACAGG